UACGGAGGGUGCAAGCGUUAUUCGGAAUUAUUGGGCGUAAAGGGCGCGUAGGCGGCCUUGUAAGUUUGGUGUGAAAUCCCUGGGCUCAACCCAGGAAGUGCAUUGAAUACUGCAAGGCUAGAGUGUUGGAGAGGUGGGUGGAAUUCCAGGUGUAGAGGUGAAAUUCGUAGAUAUCUGGAGGAACAUCAGUGGCGAAGGCGGCCCACUGGACAACAACUGACGCUGAGGCGCGAAAGCGUGGGGAGCAAACAGG
rnacentral:rRNA from 1 species